AUUGAAACACUUGUUCCCAUAUGAACAUAGAGGUUAAGCAAUGUUGAGCUUGGUCACUACUUAGAUAGGUGACCACUUGAGAAUACCAGGC